UACGGAGGGAGCUAGCGUUGUCCGGAAUCAUUGGGCGUAAAGAGCGUGUAGGCGGCCCGAUAAGUCCGCUGUGAAAGUCCAGGGCUCAACCCUGGAAUGCCAGUGGAAACUGUCGGGCUGGAGUCCGGAAGAGGCGAGUGGAAUUCCUGGUGUAGCGGUGAAAUGCGCAGAUAUCAGGAGGAACACCAAUGGCGAAGGCAGCUCGCUGGGACGGUACUGACGCUGAGACGCGAAAGCGUGGGGAGCAAACAGG
rnacentral:rRNA from 1 species